rnacentral:rRNA from 1 species
UACAGAGGUCUCAAGCGUUGUUCGGAUUCAUUGGGCGUAAAGGGUGCGUAGGCGGCGGGGCAAGUCGGAUGCGAAAUCUCAGGGCUCAACCCUGAAGCUGCAUUCGAUACUGCCUUGCUCGAGGACUGGAGAGGAGAUUGGAAUUCACGGUGUAGCAGUGAAAUGCGUAGAUAUCGUGAGGAAGACCAGUGGCGAAGGCGGAUCUCUGGACAGUUCCUGACGCUGAGGCACGAAGGCCAGGGGAGCAAACAGG